AGAAAAACAAAACCACACUUCAGACUCCGGCAUGGAGUAAAGCGAGCCAAUCACAGAUGGCAACAACUGCUUUAUUCUCAAUCCUGGUGUGAGAAGAGCUUCAGGAGGGGCCACAGGAGAACUGUCUGCAGGAACAAGCCAUGCCAGAUGCAGCAGGAAGAUGAAGGGUCGUUGAGGCGGACAUAGAUCAAGUGUGUGGGAUACGCCCGCCGCAAGGCUCCUGGAGGUGAGGACUUGCUCCAAUGGAGGGAGCACUCUGGAUAAUCCUCCUGCAGGACUGGUGCCUGAAGAAGUUUAGAUUUAGACAUUAUGUGCAGAAAAAUCACUGGUAUCCUGGGAGUGCUCAGUUGGCUCACUAGACUCAAGCAACGGGUGUUCCUUUGCGCUCACUUGCCAUUGCCUAAAAUAUCCUUGAGCCAGAAGUGGUGACUUCAAGCCUGUGCAGCUUUAUGCAAUUUGGUGUCAAAGGCUUUGGCUUCAACACCUGAUGGCUCUCUCAGAGGCUAGGCGUUAAAAGUCCCAGAGAGAGCAGGAGCCUACCUGACAAGCAAAAACAUCUGCAGCUCUCAGAAUGAGAUACCUCGCGCUGGGCAAAGGCAGAAUCCAGACUUAUGCUAUAUGACAUGAAAGUUGAAGGGCGACCAAUGUCAGGGGAGAAAUGGCACCCAGCCGUGGUGAGGAAGAGAGAAUAUUGGGGCAGAACCCACUACACGUCAGGCGUGUUGCCAAGUGUUGGAGAGGAUAUACAGUUGAAGAAAUUCCCUUUCCAGGCUGAGGCUGCCGAAGCCCAUAAAGAAGGUCAACUAAUGAUGGCACCGCAUGUCAAAAAGAACAUAGGAAAUGAUGCUACCAUGGAUUACACUGUAACACAGAAAGCUAAAACCCACGUUCUUAGAGUGAAGACUUUGAACCUAUGUGCAUUAAACCUUACAGAAAUUUGUGAAAA